UACGGGGGGGGCAAGCGUUGUUCGGAAUUACUGGGCGUAAAGGGCGCGUAGGCGGCCUUCUAAGUCGGACGUGAAAUCCCUCGGCCUAACCGAGGAACUGCGUCCGAUACUGAAAGGCUUGAAUCCGGGAGAGGGAUGUGGAAUUCCAGGUGUAGCGGUGAAAUGCGUAGAUAUCGGGAGGAACACCAGUGGCGAAGGCGAGUCUCUGGGAUGAUGCUGACGCUGAGGCGCGAAAGCCAGGGGAGCAAACGGG
rnacentral:rRNA from 1 species